CCAUCUGCUUCACCACCUCGUCGAAAAACACCGUCGCUAACUGAGAAUGCAGCAGUGAACGGAACUCGAACGAGAUCUGGGGGGGAAGCCAACGACAUUUACACACAUGUGAUGGCACUGAAGGUGUUGUAAAGCACACACACGAUGACUUACUUUGACGAGAUGUGGACGGACGUGGCUAAUCAUGGAAGUGUAUCGUUCAACGACCGGAGGGAAGCCCACUUCCAGCUGGGCUUUGGCGUGACCGGCCCUUUUCAUGAUGGUUUGGGACUUUUUACACCAUGGUACAAAGUGUUUGUACUCAUCCACAUUGGCUACCACGUCAUACAUUUCUUGCAUCGAGAACCUAAAGACCAAAACACAGUGAGGCUGAUGAAAGAUCUCCUGUGAGGAGUAGGAGUCAAAUCCACUUCAGAGAGACAGAGUGUGCGAGGGUAGCGAGUCAUCAG